rnacentral:rRNA from 1 species
AGGAGAGAGACAUGCGCGCAUAUCAAUAAGCGGAGGAAAAGAAACUAACAAGGAUUCCCUUAGUAACGGCGAGUGAAGCGGGAGGAGCUCAAAUUUGAAAUCUUCAAGGUCUUUACCUUGACGAAUUGUAGUUUAAAGAAGUGUUUUCUGCUGAAGUUUUGGUAAAAGUUCUUUGGAAUAGGACAUCAUAGAGGGUGAGAAUCCCGUAUUUGACCAUUAUUUUCAGCUUUGUGAUACACUUUCAAAGAGUCGGAUUGUUUGGGAAUGCAGUCCAAAAUGGGUGGUAAAUUUCAUCUAAAGCUAAAUAUUGGCGAGAGACCGAUAGCGAACAAGUACCGUGAGGGAAAGAUGAAAAGAACUUUGAAAAGAGAGUUAAACAGUACGUGAAAUUGUCAAAAGGGAAGCGUUUGACACCAGUGUUGUUUUCUCGAAAAUCAAUUAAAAAUGGCUCGAUUUUGUAUUGCUGAGACCUUAAAAGCUCACUGUACAUUUUUCGUGUCUUUUUUAAUGCACUUUUCGUUUAAGCAAGUCAACAUCAGUUUCUUUUGUUGUAAAAGGGUCAUUGGAAGGUGGCUUUCUUUUCGGAGAAAGUGUUUAUAGCCUUUGGCCUCUGCAAUCGGAGAGACUGAGGUCUGCAGCGUAGACUCUUCGGGGUUAGAUACAUUUGUGCUAAGUUAUAGCCUUUUCAUAGACAACUUGUUGACUAUAGAUUAGUCAUUGUAGCUUACUCGCUUAUGCUAUUUUACCUACGCUUAGGAUGUUGAAGUCAUCGUAUCGCGC